UGGAUUUUGAGGUCACAGGCUCACAAUGAUAGCCAACUGCAGAAUCAACUAAGAUCAAAACUCUUUGGAGAGACGAUGAAGCUUUGAGUCAUUCUGAGGUCCAGAGAAGAUCUCUUCAGAGGUUUGCUAUGGUUCCUGUUAGACUAGAUAUUCGUUGCUUCCCAAGCAUCUCUACACAGUCUAUGCUUAAGGGGCAGCUCAGAAGAGCAAAGUUCAGAUUCAGUUUGUAUUUGCAUAGAAAGUGUCCUCCUUUACCUUGGCCUAUGCAGUUAUUCUGUAGGUCAGUGAAUGAAGUGAUAAUACAGGACCAGGAGUGUUAUCCUAUACUGCCUUAGCAUCUGCACACUUUUAUUAUAACAUGGAGUGUUCCUGGUCAUACUUUCUCU
rnacentral:lncRNA from 1 species